AAGGGAGCAGGGAGCAGCUGGGGAUGGGGGCAGAGGGUGGGGAGCAGGGGUAGAAGAGCACAGGGGACUGGGGCCAGGGAUCAGGGACUGAGGGGACCUGGGCUGGGGACCUGUGGUGAGGUGUCAGGGUGGUUGGUGCUUGCUCUGACUGCGGCCCCUCAUGUCCUUGUGAACCCGAAGCCCCAUCCUUCCCCUCCCUAGGGGGAUGACACAGCGUCCCCAGAGUGCCCACCCGAAGCUGUCCCUCUCGUCUGUCUGCCUGGUGAGGACGCCUGGGUGGACAGGAGGCCAGGAGGAGCAGGCUACGCCCUGCUGAGGGGCAGAAAGGAAUCCUAGUCCCCUCCCAGAGAGAGAGGGCUCCCCCAGCCCUGCAUGGCCAGGCUGAGCCCUGUCCUGUGAAGGCCUCCGUCUGGUCGCAGGAAAACCUUCCCUGAGGCCCGGAUCUGAAUGUCUGUGUGCGCGGGUGUGCUUGUCGUUGACAUGACUUCCCAGAGGAGGAGACGUUACUCAGCACCCAGCGAGAUACUCGGAGUUUGCCUAAACCAGGUCGAGCAGAAAAUUACCCACGCUAGCUUUUUCCUUUAAGGACUUUAAAAUACAGAUAUUUAAAAUAGAUUUGGGGAGAUUUGUUUUGGUAAAUCUGAUGACUUGAAACUCAUUAAGGAUUUCUGAAAUGUGGGCAGUGUGUCAAGAAGGGCUGUGUGACCCCUGAAGAUUUCAUGGUAAGGCCCCUGAGCAGAACGCAAGUGUUCAAACAUUCCUUCAUUGCAGGUUCUGUUGCAAAAUGUGAAAAUGAAGGGGAGGAGCUCCAGAUCCCGUUCAUCACAGACAACCCCUGCAUCAUGUGUGUGUGCCUGAACAAGGAAGUGACCUGCCAGCGGGAGAAGUGCCCGGUGCUGCCGCGCGACUGUGCCCUGGCCGUCAAGCAGAGGGGCACCUGCUGCGAGCGCUGCAAAGGUGGGUUCUGUCUGGCAUGGGCUGUGUGUGGGGGAAGAGAGGAAGCACAGUGAGCAGCUGCGUGUGCGGUUUCAGGGGAUGAACCAUUAAAUGUCCAGAGAUGUAAACAGCGGCCUUUUGUCACUGUGCUCGCACGCUUGGGUUUGCCAGGCUCCACGUUCGCCCUGCCCUCGUCUGCCAAGGGAAUCUUGAAAUCCAAGUGUUACCGUUUUGGUUUCCAUUAAGUCUUUUCUUCCUUUCCAGAUUAACUCUAGGUCCUCUGCUUGUCUUUGGAGCAACUCUGAAGCCUCCUUACCCCACCUGGGCUGCUUCGCCCAGCUCUCCAGUGUUGGGUCUUGUUUGACUUUCCUUUACCCAAGGGAGUCACCGUCUAAGCCGUGUUUCUCAAAACUGGCUGUAAAUGAGCUGUGACGUAGCAGGAGUCACCAAGACCGUUAUCCUCUUCAUAAAAU
rnacentral:lncRNA from 1 species